GGGUGGCCAGGCAGAUCCAAGUAGCUACAGGCCAGUAAAGCUCAACAUGCAUCAAUGGUAAAUAAUGGGAGGAAUUAUUAAGGAGAAGAUCAAGCAGCGCAUGUUCAGAGCAGGAGGGUUAGCAACGAGUCAGCAUGGGAACAGACAAGGGAGCUCCAGUUUGACUCAUAUGCUGCAAUAAAAGCGGAUGAUCAGGGAGGUGCAUAUGAUGUGAUUUAUCUGGAUUUUCCGAAGGCAUUUGAUGCUACUCAUACAAUCUACUGGCACAUGAAAGGAUCAGCUGGCAAGAAUGGGAUCCGCUGCCCAAAUCCAGGGGUUAUGACAGACGAGACAAAAAGGUGAACACAAGCAUAGAUGACUGCUCCCUUUUCAAGUUCCUGCCAGCCCUUCUUGUCCCCAGCAGCCCCCUGUGCCCGUUGCAGAAGUCCAAUCAGGGCAAUACAGUCCAAGGUAUCCCUGCAUACCACUGUAGUGAUUCGAUCAAAAUCAAAAGCCUUGUAGCCUUUUACGAGGCUAAGAACUGGAUGGACUCGUUUGUUUUGGAGCUUUUUUUUUCCACUGUAAGCAGAAAUAGGAAAUACAAAUCAAACGUGUCCAGAGAGGAUGAGCCAAGCUGAGAUGGCCACUGCCAAGUGUUACGCCAAUGCCAACGUGUGCCAACAGUACAUAAACUGCUGGGGAAACCAAAAAAAAUGUUGCAAUGGGUGCAAUUACAGAAGGAAUGUGUUUGUCUUGUUCCACAAAUUAAUACAAAAAUGUGACGUUUAGCAUCCGUGUGUCUUAAAAUGACAAAAAAAGAAGGAAUAAAAAGUGAAACUGAAAUGUAGGAAGAGUGCAAAGAAAAGUGACAGAGCGCCAGUCACACGGCUGGUGCCAGACUCUGCAGCUGUCAAACCGUAUGGGCCGGCGAGCUGUGGGGAAAAGCGGCAGAGCGAAUGAGAAGGCAAAGGCAAGAACGAGGCAAAGGGCGGGCGACUAACUGGAAUAUAGCGCCUCCCUUAGUUAGAACUACCAGACUUACGGGACAAGAUGACACAUACCAGGGCUCUUGGGGGUCUGGGAUCUGAAUAAGAUCUGAGGGGUGCAGGUGUGUGUCGGGA